CAAGUACUAAAGGAAGUCACCCCGCCCUGGCCAGGUCAGGAAAGUUCUAAUUAUGGGUUGUCCCUUUGGAAAAAGAAAAACAGAGGUGGCAUGGGGUUGUUCUCAGCUUGUGUUGAGAGAUGGGGGUAAAACUCCCAAAAAGAGCACCCCCCUUCUUUUUAGUUGCCAUCAUUAGGUUGGGCACUUUAAGGAAACUGCCGGUGACAAACGGGAAGAAGUUUGGAGACGUCAAAUCAUCAUGCCCCUUAUGGCCUGGGCUACCCACGUGGUAAAAAUUCCAAAAAAAGGGGAGCCAAGCCGGAAACGGAGCAUUCCCAUAAACCGAUCCCAUCCGGAUGCAGUCUGCAACUCGAUGCAUAAGUGAAUCGCUGUGAUCGCGGAUCAGCAUUCGCACCUUCGC
rnacentral:rRNA from 1 species